UGAACGAGUCAGGUGGAACCAA
rnacentral:siRNA from 1 species